UAAAGCCUCAAAUUGGGGGUUUCUCAAGUUUGAAAAAUUAGGAAUUCUCCUAUAAGUGAUCAUAUUCAAGAAUUCAUAGAUAAUAUUAUCCACCGGAUAACCUAUUUUUUAUCCAUCUCAAAUAUGGGUCGGGUCGGGUCGGAUAAUUUAUCCAUUUUUGACCCGCUCAUAUCCGAUCCGACCCGCCCGUUUGCCACCCCUAGUCCCUGUCUGCAACAUUGACUCACUGAUUCGUAAGGAUUAUGUUCCCCUUAUCUGUCAAGAAUGUCAUUAGGGUGACCACGUGGUCGCUCAUGUUCCUCAGGAUCAUGAAAGAGCUACCAACCACUGGGAAGGAUUUUCUUUUGUGUACAUUUAUCCCUUUACUCUUGGGGUUUCAACCUCUUCUCGAUUUCAUAAUCUUAGAUUUUUGCUGGUAUUUUGAUAUCUGGCUAGUCCAAGUCGAGCCAAAUGUAUUGAGUUUGAUAACAUGUUUUUGAUAUCUAGCCAGACUGACUGAGUUGAUUUUUUCCUUGAGCACCUUCUCAAUCUAUACAUUUUGAAGCUGUUCAAGGGUGGCCUCGUCGCCAUCGUUAGUCGUGGCACGAGGACUAUAAUGAAUGCGGAAGAAGAUUAUGAUAGGGGCUGGUUCGAUCGGUUUGUAGAGGUUCAUACGCGGGAUUGGUGUCUUUCAAAGACGACCCUGUUUCAGAGAGAUAGAAUCAUGAUCAUAAGGAUAUCUUUUCCAAUUUCAAUUAUAACUUUAGUAUACGUCUCCUGGUGCCAUUAUUCUUAUGUUGCAGCUAUUUUAGCGGCCCCAAUGGAAGUGCCUAGUAUCGGAGAGUGGGUCGAAAAGAUUCUAUCUUCCUGCAGGCACAUCUUCGAUGUAUCAGUGUGUAGAGCUAGAGUCCAUGGCAUUGAUUUGAGGAAGGCGACUCACAAGUUCUAAUUGGUCUUCCUGCCUCUAUUGAUUCUGCCCAAGAAACGAUCAAGCAUUUAUCCGCUCUGAAGCAAAAAAUAGUUUCUUCAUCGUCUGCUUUGGUAAGUUCUGUUCCGGCCCUUCCUCGAAAGAGGACAAAGUCAAACUUUUGGAUAGGAUCAGACGAUGUUCAUAGUAGCCCCUGAGUUCAUGUUCAAAUCAAGUCCCCUCAAGGUGGAAUUCCUAUACUAGUUGAGGGUAAGGAGAUGGAGUCCCCGAGUGAGGAGUCAACGAGAGAUGAAUUUCCUUUCACUGAUCGCAAAAAAGGCAUCACCAAAUAUGAUCCCUCCAAGGUCCCUUUGUUUGCUCCUAUGCCCCCUCUGGAUUCUCAAAUUCCUAAUCUUCCUUUGAUUGGCUCUUCGAUCCAUAUUGGCAUUCGUCAUAUAAUGAUCGCGAUUCCGGAUGAAUCUAACCUUCUUGGCCGUGCGGAGGGGAAUAGGGCACAGUUGAAGGAACUGAUUGAUCCCUUAGAGAGGGGGAGAUUGAACAACCGAUCUGGUAUUGAUAUGUUAAAUUAUCUUCUUCACUACACCCUCCAAGAAGGACUUUUCACAUUUUCAUCCUUCAUUUCUUGUAAUGUUGCAAUCAUUUUAUGAGUACAACCAUAUUUGUUUCUCCUUCAAGCCAACUUGAUUUCCACCUAGAUCCUAGACAAGUUUGAGCAAACUGAGGCAAAUUUGAAGAGAGGUGUCAUGACUUGGGAGUUAAAGUUUAAGGAUGUGAAAGCGAAUAAGGAGAAUUAUCAUCUCCUGGCGGAAUGGUCCAAGGGUGAGCUGCAGUCGUUGAGGAAGGAGCUCGAAAUACAGGGUACGAGUUACACAACGAGGAUUAAACACUUGGAGGCCGCUCUCCCUGAAAAAAGGCACAUGUGAGUCAUUUAAUUGAUGAGCAUGCACAGUUGUCAUAUGAUCUUGCUCGAGCCUAAGUGUGGGCAUAAUAUCUUGAGCGGGUUCUUAUAUUAUUGAAGGAGUCCACUAAUGAUCUUCAAGCUAAAGUGGAACAGUUGAGGAGCGAAAAGGACAAAGCGGUCCGAGAUCUUGACUAGGCAGCCUUGCAGUCGGAUCUUGCUCAGACCAUUAUCUUCCUUGAAUCCAAGUUAUUGACAUUGAAGAAUGUCCAUGCCAGCAUCCCAAAUUUGAAGAAGGAUAUCGAGAAGUUAGAGAAGGCAGUGCCUGAGGCACGACAAACUUUGGAUUUCCCUCACGUGAGAGGGUCCUCCAAAGGGUGGAGACUCCUCGAGUUUUUCGGAGAGAGGUACAGAGGAAUGGACUGUUGAAUCACGUCCAGGUCCUUCAACUCGUUGGGAUGUAUCAUCCCUUUCCGGCCCAAUACUUCAAGAUCAGCAAUCCUCUUUACUCUCGGCAGGGAGCUAGUGAAGAUUUGGUACAACUGCACUGAACUAGAAUCUAUUGUUUUUUGGGAUGUUAUUCUCUUUAUGAAUGUUUCUUAAUUGUCUUUUUGUUUUUCCGUUGCUUAUUUUUUGGCCAAUUAGAUUUACAGGAACAUGUUCCGUUUGAUGUACUUGAAUGGAACCUUUGUUAUUAAUGAAAAGUGUUGUUUGUCUUUUUGCGUCUCUUCGAGUAAUUUUUGCGCCUUUUAUGCGUUCGAAGCUUUGUUUUGGAACAUCCUUUUAUGGGACCUAGGAUCCUGAUAUCGGAGACUGAUCUUGAUAUUCAGUCACCCCAAAGCCAUAUUUUCACUUUCCCCAAAAGUUCCUUUUGCACAUGCAAGCGCCACGUGUGGUUGAGUUAUCUUUCCUUCUCGGCCAUAGCGUAAAUCUUAAGGAAACUCUUUAGAGGGAAGACGUGUCCUUUCUGAUAGGCGUCUCUUCAGAUUUAUCAUGUUAAAAGGUGACCUCCAUCCAAUGCUUGAGGCACGUGGCCAUCGUCAUGAGAAUCGAUAUGUGCAUCGAUUCUCGAGGUAAUGAUGGCCACUUCUUAUAAAAGAGGAUGGGAGUGAACCAAAUCUUAUUUUACUUUAUAUAUUCCUUCUUGUCUGGUCCUCCUUCUGCUUGCACUUUUUCCUGGUCUUCUGAUCAAUUUUGGAGAAGAAAACCCUUAUCAAGCUUCCUCAUUUUCUUUAGACACCCUAAUGAAUUUCGAAAUUUGCAACCCUUUAGUGGAGAGACCUCUAUCUUGACCAGUCACUGCUGCGCCUGAAAAUGCCUCCGUUGUUGCGGAUAUGGCCAUGGUGGAGGUGAUGUCAUCGUCGGUGAAGAAAAGGAGAAGUGAAAAAGUUUAGUUAGCCGACCAACCGGAGCAGACCAUUUUGAAUAUUGUGCCAAAAGAGUUUAGGAAAGACAAUGACUUUAACAUUAGAGAGAAAUGCAAAGUUUUGUAACAAUUACUGGUUCUUCCUAACACAAAUAGGGCCUCAAAUAUGAAGGUUGGUCAUGGGCCUUUGGCACUUGUCUUUGAAGGAUGAUGUCCCUUUAAUGUACUCUCCUAAGAUCUACUGAGGGGGAUUGAUGAACAUGAUGCAACGAGGUUCGAAGGAUGUCAUUCACACCAAGUUCCUUUGGCUAGAUACCAAGAUCCAGUUCCCAGAGAAGUGGAUUUUUACUCGCGAGUCUCUUUAGUUUUUUUGCUUUCUUUAAUUAAAUUAUAGGACAACCUUUUAACACUUAUCGCAUUGUUCAACUUCUGCGGUGGAAGUGGAAGCGGCCCCGAAUAUAGAAGAUUGGUGUCCAAGAUUCUAAAGGUAUCCACCAAUUUUUUGAGAAAAUAGAAAAAUAUUGUGGCAGAACUGGGAGGCAUUUGAGCAUAGUACCAUGGUGUGGGCAUCAAUAAGAGACCCAAACCUCGGGCCGAUUUCGUGGAAGAGGCAUCUUGGAUAAUCCGAGAACUAUUCCCCAAGGUUCCUGACAAGUUUCCUUCGUAACUAUCUUCCUAUGGUUCUUCGAAGAGGAAUCGUGCUUCUUAGACAGAAUCCCUCCCCUCUGGUUAGAGGGGGACGCCACUUAAUCCAUUCCCCCGGCUAUGUAGGACGGUGCCACCAGAGGGUUGAUGCAUGCCAACCCCAUCCAGGUUGACUAUAGGAAGGAAAUCCCUGUUCCUUUAUCUAUGGGCGGCUAUUUCAGAGGGAGAUCUAGUAGCGGAGGCCACGACAAAUAUAAUUCCAGAUAAGGGUCUAUAGAUAGGGUGAGUUAUCUCAUCCAAGAAGAGAGUUAUGGCGCCCUCACGCGAGCAAUUGGUUCAGCCUUCCCAAGCUGUCCCUUCCACCGAAGAGGUGAGUUCUCAAGGGGGUGCAAACGAGGUGGUUGCACACACCGGUUCAAAAUGUUCAAGGAGCCUAAGCAUGUUGAUGCUCAUCUUUCUUAGUUGGCGAGUCCCCAAGACUGACAACCCGUGGGGUCUAUGACUAUGGAGGUCGUAGUGACUCAAAUGGCUUAUGAGCUAUACGGCACAUUGUGCUUACUUCAGGGACCUUAAAAAACAUUUGAGAGGGCGUGGCUAUGUCCAAGGAGGUGGUGAGGUAUAAUCGAGCAUUGAGGGCCGAAAACGAGAAGUUCAAAGAAUAAAGGGGAUCCUUUUUGGCCAGGACCGAAGCCGUGGAGAGGAGUGCCUAGAAAGGAUGGCUGAGUUUUCGGAGAGUGAGGCGGCUCGACUAUCCUAACUCAACAAGGGCAACUAUAGGCUUUUUGUUUCCCAAAUCGAGUCUUGAAAGCAUAUGAGGAGGUUCGAUUGAGGGAAGAGUGUUCCCGUUUAUCAGCCGAGAUAUAGGGUUUAAGGUCGGAGUUGGCCUUGACUGAGAAGAUAUCCCGGGCCAACAACACCGAUCGGGAAACCCUCCAAGUGUCUUUCAAAGACUUGCAGAAAGAAGUGAUCGUAAGAUAAGCUUGGGCCAUCAAAGAGACUCGCUUGCACACUCUUCAUGAGGUUCACACUAUUGCGGUGGAUUUUCAACUUGAGGUUCCCCAAUUAGAGGAAGAGGCAAGGGCUCUUGGUCGAUGACUUUGUCUCCCCUAUGCGGAUAUGCGAGGUCUUACCUAUGAUGAAGAUAAGGUGAGGACGAUAUUGAAGAUGACAAAGUGGGGGAAGUGACUCCUAUUCCCGAUCAGCCGGUCCUUUCUGGUGCUGUUGAUACGAAUUCUCCCUCUAUUUCCGGCACAAAUGUCAAUGAUUAGUUAUAGUUUUAGGCUUUGGAUUUUUGUGCUUCUUUUCUGUUCCAUAUUUAGGGCCCUUUGUACAAACAGAAUAUUUGAUGUAAUCCUGUUUGUUCCUUCAACUAUUUUUUCUGUAUUAGUGUUAUAGGUCAUAUAGGCUUCGAAGCUUUUAGACUUGAUCA